rnacentral:lncRNA from 1 species
AAAAAAAAAAAAAAAGGAGAGAAAAAGGUAUAAAAAUAUUUUGAUUAGUUUACUGAAAAUCUGGACCGAAUCGGUAAAAUAAAAAAAGACGGCUCAAUUAUGCAAAAGCUCAAAACUUGUAGAUUUUUUAUACAAAUUGGCCUUACAUAAAUUUGUCUAAAUAUCAUGAAACGCACAGAAGUCAUAUUGCUCAUUAGAUGGAUGGGAUAUAAAAUUUACUCUCACUUUUGAAUGAUUUGAUAGAUCAGAGUCUUUUUUUUAGAAAGAGGAAGGUAGUAUACCAUCUACUUCAUUUAUAUUUUUUUUAGAAACAAAUUUAACUAGAAAUGUAAAGCAAUUAAGCUUCGAAUUUGAGAUCUUGGCUAUCAACCAUCAAGUUCUUUACGACUUACGCUAGGGACUAUCGACGGUAGAUCAGAGUUUUAAUUUUG